UGCAAGUCGAGCGGCAGCACGGGUACUUGUACCUGGUGGCGAGCGGCGGACGGGUGAGUAAUGCCUAGGAAUCUGCCUGGUAGUGGGGGAUAACGCUCGGAAACGGACGCUAAUACCGCAUACGUCCUACGGGAGAAAGCAGGGGACCUUCGGGCCUUGCGCUAUCAGAUGAGCCUAGGUCGGAUUAGCUAGUUGGUGAGGUAAUGGCUCACCAAGGCGACGAUCCGUAACUGGUCUGAGAGGAUGAUCAGUCACACUGGAACUGAGACACGGUCCAGACUCCUACGGGAGGCAGCAGUGGGGAAUAUUGGACAAUGGGCGAAAGCCUGAUCCAGCCAUGCCGCGUGUGUGAAGAAGGUCUUCGGAUUGUAAAGCA
rnacentral:rRNA from 1 species